UAUUUGGGGGAGAGUGCGUAGCUAGAAGAGGCUCUGCACUGAGAUCAGUGAUUGGCAUAGUGUAGGAAUUGUGCCUGUCAAUGUGAUCUGAGAAUAGACAGGAAAACUAUCCCUUAAAAAUUAAUGACAAGGAUAAAGAGGAAUGAUACAGUCCUCCAAUGAAGUCUGAAGAAAUGGGUGGAAAUUAAUUCCUAGUGGCCAACAGUAAAGCAAAUAAAUUGCUUUUUUUCACACUUAUGGCUUGGAAAAUAAAAUUCAAAUCCUCAAACUCCCAGUUGCCAAAAUGAAUAACAAUAAUUAUAGGAAGCUUGCUACAUAAUGGUCAUUUUAAUUACCAUGUUUUUGCUUCUGUGAUAUAAUUAGUUGUUUCUUAUUUUUUAUUUUUUAUUUUUUUUUGAAAAAUUUGAAGGAGAGAUUUUCCAGCUGGCUUUAGGUCUUGUGUAUUCUAAUGAGUAUGAUUAUACAUUCCCAGCAACAAUGUUCAGAAUCCAAGGAAGUAAGGAGGAUUAGACCCUGAACAUCUUGUAUCUCAAGAGUGUCCGAUGACAAGUUUGCUAAAGCCAGUUCCACAGGCCUUUUUCAGUGAUUGAGCCAGUGGAGGACAAAAUAAACUCCGAUCUCCUUUUGUCAUUGGCAGAGAUGACUGGCCGUGCUGAAAGUUGUGCUCUCCCGGGACACGGAUAUGGGAACCUGGCUUUGGUUAAUUGAGGGCAGCUUCUUCCAGGAGAAACCACAGACAUACAGAGGCAACAUCAAAUCUCAGCAAGUGUGCCCAAGUGUUGGGAUACCUUCAAGGGUUCCUUAGGCAUUCUCACUGCCAGAACCAGGUAGGCCUCCUCAGAUGGUACUCAAAUAUGCAGAGAAAGUAAAU
rnacentral:lncRNA from 1 species